AGGUCCUCGAGUGAAAGGAAGCCCGAACAAGUAAAUGAAGGCAGAGCGGAGCAGGGCUACCAAGCACAGGAUGAGUGUGACCUUUGGAGGUCAAGGUGCUGGACAGGCCUUUCUCCCCUUCUUUUCUUCACCUAGGCCUGAGAGUCCAUCAAGUCUGUCAACACUUGGCUCAGACGUCGGAGUCCCUCCAGGACGGGGCUGUGUGCCUUCCUGGGUGUUUUCCACUGUCCUGCUGCUUUCCUCUAGCAUGGCCUUUGUCCCAAUGUGUUGUAAUUGUCCAGUCAGUCUUCAUGUAUAUAUGGUGAGUCUCUUGAGGUACAUAUUAUAUCUUAAAAUAUUUUGUGUCAAGAAUAGUCCCAGCAGUAAACAUUCAAAUGAAUCACUGGAUCCUGGCUGGAGCAUCACGGUGUUUUAGACGAAACACUAAUCUAUAUCUGAGUCCUUUCUUCACUACUAACUAGCUAUGUAGACAACCUCGGAGAUGAUUCCUCAGUGAGCCCUGUCUCCUGCAGUUCACGCCCCACUGUAAUCCCCUCCCCUUGAGCAUGGUAGAUUUAUUGUCUCCCCUCAUAAAACACAGAAGAAAUGACAGAUGUCACUUUCAAGGUUAGGUUGUAAAAUGACUGUGGCUCUGUGUUGGGUGCCCUCCCCCGUGCUCUCUGUCUCACUGAGGGAAGCCAGCUGCCCCAUUGUGACCUGUCCUAUGGAGAGGCCCACACAGCAAGGAACUGAGGGAGGCCUCUGGCUAAGAGUUAGUGAGGGACUGAGAUCCUUAGGCUAACAGGCUGCAGGGAACUGAAUUCUGCCCCACAGUGAGCUUGGAAGCCAACCGUCCCCCAGGUGAGCCUUCAGCAACAACUUUGACUGUAGCCUCAGGAUAGACUCUAAGCCAGAGGCAUCCAGCUCACCUGUGCCCUGAUUCUUGACCUACAGAAACUGUAAGAUAAUAAAUGUUUGUUGUUUUAAGUC